rnacentral:rRNA from 1 species
AAAUUGAAGAGUUUGAUCAUGGCUCAGAUUGAACGCUGGCGGCAGGCCUAACACAUGCAAGUCGAACGGUAACAGGAAGCAGCUUGCUGCUUUGCUGACGAGUGGCGGACGGGUGAGUAAUGUCUGGGAAACUGCCUGAUGGAGGGGGAUAACUACUGGAAACGGUGGCUAAUACCGCAUAACGUCGCAAGACCAAAGAGGGGGACCUUCGGGCCUCUUGCCAUCUCGGGCCUCUUGCCAUCAGAUGUGCCCAGAUGGGAUUAGCUUGUUGGUGAGGUAACGGCUCACCAAGGCGACGAUCCCUAGCUGGUCUGAGAGGAUGACCAGCCACACUGGAACUGAGACACGGUCCAGACUCCUACGGGAGGCAGCAGUGGGGAAUAUUGCACAAUGGGCGCAAGCCUGAUGCAGCCAUGCCGCGUGUAUGAAGAAGGCCUUCGGGUUGUAAAGUACUUUCAGCGGGGAGGAAGGUGUUG